UACGGGGGGGGCAAGCGUUGUUCGGAAUUACUGGGCGUAAAGGGCUCGUAGGUGGCCAACUAAGUCAGACGUGAAAUCCCUCGGCUUAACCGGGGAACUGCGUCUGAUACUGGAUGGCUUGAGAUUGGGAGAGGGAUGCGGAAUUCCAGGUGUAGCGGUGAAAUGCGUAGAUAUCGGGAGGAACACCAGUGGCGAAGGCGGCUUUCUGGCCUGUUCUUGACGCUGAGGCGCGAAAGCCAGGGGAGCGAAUGGG
rnacentral:rRNA from 1 species